CAGUAGCCGCGGUAAUACGUAGGUGGCAAGCGUUGUCCGGAAUUAUUGGGCGUAAAGGGCUCGCAGGCGGUUUCUUAAGUCUGAUGUGAAAGCCCCCGGCUCAACCGGGGAGGGUCAUUGGAAACUGGGAAACUUGAAUGCAGAAGAGGAGAGUGGAAUUCCACGUGUAGCGGUGAAAUGCGUAGAGAUGUGGAGGAACACCAGUGGCGAAGGCGACUCUCUGGUCUGUAACUGACGCUGAGGAGCGAAAGCGUGGGGAGCGAACAGGAUUAGAUACCCGAGUAGUCCCUGUCUCUUAUAA
rnacentral:rRNA from 1 species